AAUUGUGGAAAGGAAACAAGACUGACAGUUUGUGGGGGAAGGGCCCAACUGGGAGUGGCAGUUGGGUCUUGUGACUAGUACUUCCUUCCUGCCGGGUGUGGCAGUUGUGUCUUGUGACUAGCACUUCCUUCCUGCCGUGUGGACUUGCUGCCUGGUGUUGGAGGAGAGAGGAGCUUGUUCAGUCUGUCUGGAGUGGCAUGCUCUUCUUGGUUCAGCCCGAAGAUUCAGGCCCAUUCAUCUCUGAAGGUCCUUGGGGAAAAAAACCUGAUGGGUGACAAAAAAUUGCAGUAUUAUGACAGAGGUUGCUGGUCAAUUGUUUCCCCAUCUCUCCUAAGACCAAACUGGUCCAGGUAAGCAAGAAGGAGUAAGGUAAGACUAUUGCUUCAAACUCUUAGGUGACCUCUAGUUUCCUUAUGGAUACUUUUCAGGAUGUUGGUUAUAAUUUUUUUUAUAGCCAGUUCAAUUGAUCAGACAUUUAUUAACCUUUUCAAGAAAAUUGAAGACUCUCCAAAAGCAUAGGACAUUCAGGAAAAGAAACCAUUGUAAAGUAGUCAUAAUUUGGGAUUUACUUUUUGCUUGGUUCAUCCAUUUUCAGGAGGACCAGUGACAUUAUGGG
rnacentral:lncRNA from 1 species